GCCUUGGUGGUGGAACUGGUAGACGCAGCGGACUCAAAAUCCGCCGCCGAAAGGCGUGCCGGUUCGAUUCCGGCCCGAGGCACCA
rnacentral:tRNA from 3 species